rnacentral:tRNA from 1 species
GGAGUUGUGGCUCAGUGGUAGAGCGCUUGCCUGGCAUGUGUCCAGCACUGGGUUCAGUUCCCAGCACCA